rnacentral:lncRNA from 1 species
AUGUGCGUCGGGGUCAGAGCGCGCAUUGUUUACACCGCGGAGCAGCUGAUCGCGCUGCGCAGCGCCGUAGUUCUGCCCAGAGACAGACACGAGAUCACCGCUGAGGUGCUGGUGAAGACCCGACGUGGGCGCCGCGCCGGAAAACUACGACGGGAGAAAACGAGAUGCUUCAGGCCCGCUGUCCCCUCCGUCAUCAUGGGGAACGUGACAUCUCUCCCCAACAAGAUCGACGAGCUUGCGGCGCUCACACGGUACCAGCCGGAGUACAGAACGAGCAGCGUCCUGCUGUUCACGGAGACCUGGCUGACGUCACUCAUCCUGGACUCGACUGUCGCACUGGACAAUUUUCAUCUGCUACGUGCGGACAGAACGGAGAACAGCGGUAAGAGGAAGGGAGGGGGUCUGGCUGUGUUUGUGAACACCAGGUGGUGUAUGCCACAACAUUGCACUGUCAAAAUGAAGCUGUGUAACAGAGACAUUGAGCUGUUAGCGGUGGGCAUGAGGCCAUUCUACCUGCCAAGGGAGUUCACACACGUUAUAAUAAUUGCUGUGUACGUCCCACCCUCCGCUAACGCUGACACAGCUUCCGAGACCCUGCUCUCAGUCACCAGCAGGCUGCAAACACAGCACCCACAGGCCCUCUUCCUGAUCUCUGGGGACUUUAACCAUGCACCUCCUUCAGCUGCUCUGCCUACAUACACCCAGUAUGUGACCUGCCCCACCAGAGACAAUAAAACCUUGGACUUAUUCUACGCCAACACCAAAGAGGCCUACACUGCAUCCUGCCUCCCACCACUGGGCAGAGCUGACCACAACAUCCUGCAUCUCCUGCCUGUGUAUAAACAUGUUGUACACAGGCAGCCAGUGGUGCCCCGCACAGUGAAGAGGUGGACAGCUGAGAGCGAGGAGGCUCUCAGGGACUGUUUUAACACCACUGUGUGGACGGAGCUCUGCGACCCACAUGGGGAGGACAUUAACGCAAUAACAGACUGUGUAACGGACUACAUCAACUUCUGCUGUGAAAACACUGGUUCCACCAGGCGGGUUCGGUGUUUCACCAACAGCAAGCCAUGGGCCACCCCUGAUAUUAAAGCUCUGCUAAAGGAGAAGAAGAGAGCAUUUAAAUCGGGGGACAGGGAGGAGCUGAGGAGGGUGCAGAAGGAGCUGAGGAGGAAAAUCCGUGAGGGGAAGUCCAGCUACAGGAGGAAGAUGGAGGAGCAGCUGCAGCAGAACAAUGUGAGUGAGGUGUGGAGGAGCCUGAAAACCAUCUCAGGCUUCAAAGCUCCACACCCACAGGCUGAGGGGGACCUGAGCUGGGUCAACGAGCUGAACUCACACUUUAAUAGGUUUGACGAAGCACCCACUCACACCUCCCAGCAGCUGCCUCCGAACCUCUUGUCACCUCAUACCACUGGAUUACCAGCCCCCACAGCCCUUCACACCUUUACACAAAGCCCUCUACGCUCAGCCCUGACGACUGGUGACUCGUCCCAACCACACCCCCUCACUUCACACCACACUAAGACACUCCCUCCACCCCUAUCCUUCUCCAGCACCCAGGUGAGAAGUGAGCUCAGGAAGAUCAAGGCCAGGAAAGCAGCUGGACCAGACGGCAUCAGCUCCAGACUCCUUAAGUCCUGUGCAGGCGAACUGUGUGGAGUUAUGGAGCAUGUCUUCAACCUGAGCCUCAAGCUGAGGGUGGUACCACAGCUCUGGAAGACCUCCUGCGUGGUACCAGUGCCCAAGACACCGCACGCCAAAGACCCCAGCAGCUUCAGACCAGUGGCUCUGACAUCAAACCUGAUGAAGACACUGGAGAGACUGGUCCUGGGUAACCUCCGCUCUGCAGUGGGAACCUACCUGGACCCGCUGCAGUUCGCCUACCGACACGGCAUAGGAGUAGACGACGCUGUCAUCUUCCUCCUACAUCGAGCCCUUUCCCACCUAGAGAAGCAGCACUGUGAGGAUCAUGUUCUUUGA